rnacentral:rRNA from 1 species
CAAGUCGGACGGCAGCACAGAGAAGCUUGCUUCUUGGGUGGCGAGUGGCGAACGGGUGAGUAACAUAUCGGAACGUACCGAGUAAUGGGGGAUAACUAAUCGAAAGAUUAGCUAAUACCGCAUAUUCUCUGAGGAGGAAAGCAGGGGACCUUCGGGCCUUGCGUUAUUCGAGCGGCCGAUAUCUGAUUAGCUAGUUGGUGGGGUAAAGGCCUACCAAGGCGACGAUCAGUAGCGGGUCUGAGAGGAUGAUCCGCCACACUGGGACUGAGACACGGCCCAGACUCCUACGGGAGGCAGCAGUGGGGAAUUUUGGACAAUGGGCGCAAGCCUGAUCCAGCCAUGCCGCGUGUCUGAAGAAGGCCUUCGGGUUGUAAAGGACUUUUGUCAGGGAAGAAAAGGCUGUUGCUAAUACCGACAGCUGAUGACGGUACCUGAAGAAUAAGCACC